rnacentral:rRNA from 1 species
AUUGAACGCUGGCGGCAUGCCUUACACAUGCAAGUCGAACGGCAGCACGGGAGCAAUCCUGGUGGCGAGUGGCGAACGGGUGAGUAAUAUAUCGGAACGUGCCCAGUCGUGGGGAUAACGUAGCGAAAGCUACGCUAAUACCGCAUACGAUCUAUGGAUGAAAGCGGGGGAUCGCAAGACCUCGCGCGAUUGGAGCGGCCGAUAUCAGAUUAGGUAGUUGGUGAGGUAAAGGCUCACCAAGCCGACGAUCUGUAGCUGGUCUGAGAGGACGACCAGCCACACUGGGACUGAGACACGGCCCAGACUCCUACGGGAGGCAGCAGCGGGGAAUAUUGGACAAUGGGCGCAAGCCUGAUCCAGCCCAUGCCGCGUGCAGGAUGACGGUCCUAUGGAUUGUAAACUAGCUUUUGUUACAGGAAGAAACACUGGUUCGUGAACCAGCUUGACGGUACUGUAAGAAUAAGGAU